AUUGAACGCUGGCGGCAGGCCUAACACAUGCAAGUCGAGCGGAUGAAGGGAGCUUGCUCCUGGAUUCAGCGGCGGACGGGUGAGUAAUGCCUAAGAAUCUGCCUGGUAGUGGGGGAUAACGUCCGGAAACGGGCGCUAAUACCGCAUACGUCCUGAGGGAGAAAGUGGGGGAUCUUCGGACCUCACGCUAUCAGAUGAGCCUAGGUCGGAUUAGCUAGUUGGUGGGGUAAAGGCCUACCAAGGCGACGAUCCGUAACUGGUCUGAGAGGAUGAUCAGUCACACUGGAACUGAGACACGGUCCAGACUCCUACGGGAGGCAGCAGUGGGGAAUAUUGGACAAUGGGCGAAAGCCUGAUCCAGCCAUGCCGCGUGUGUGAAGAAGGUCUUCGGAUUGUAAAGCACUUUAAGUUGGGAGGAAGGGCAGUAAGUUAAUACCUUGCUGUUUUGACGUUACCAACAGAAUAAGCACCGGCUAAGUUCGUG
rnacentral:rRNA from 1 species